CUUCAUAGGGAGGACGUCGAGCAGAUAUGUACAAUGUACAUGUCAUGUAUACCAUAUAUUUAAGCAAGACCAUUACCAUCGCCCUUUAAAUCAACCAUAUCUUCCGUUCAGACUCUCACUGUAGCAUAAUGGAGUUUAAAAUAUUCAGAUUCAAACAAACACGUCAAGUCCGUUAGAGCCUUAUACCUACGUUUAAAUAUAAAAAUGCGUUGAACAUUGUCUUUUGCGCCCCAGAGACAUGGCAUUCAUUAAUCUAUUGAUUGUCCCGCGUUAUUUCUCUUUCCUACGCACUUAGCGGACGUACCCAUCUGCAGAGUUUUGCAACGCGCACCUUCCAGCAGCUGCGGACCGCAGGAACGCCUCCGCUACACGAAUCGGCACUACAACCUAAUACUGCGCUGCCAUAUAAAACACUUUCAGAAUGUCAACUACGACACAUUUUGAAUCCGGGACGGACAGGGGCACCACACAGUAAGAGUGAUGUUUGCUUAUUGUGUCCUUCACAAAUGCCCCCCCACCCCCAAAUGCUCAAUCUCACAAGGGAGCCUUGGUAGCUUCCAGGAGCUGGAUAUAUAGAUGGAGGGAGGCAUGGGAAUGUGGGUGGCUGCUAGUCUCUCAGCCAUGCAGCAGCGGCAGCAAGUGUGACAAAUGACCCAGUGAAUGAAGCCUAGAGCCCAAUGUGAUGUACAAAGAGAUAGAGAGUGACACUGAGGGGUUCUGUGCUGCCUCCAAAAGACCCUGAUAUUAAAGCAACUCUCUUAUUAGAUUAUAGGAGGGACAUUUUUUCUACAGAACAAUUUAUUCGAUUAUGUUAGGGCAGACAGGACACUG